ACGGGAGGCAGCAGUGGGGAAUAUUGGUCAAUGGGGGAAACCCUGAACCAGCAACGCCGCGUGAAGGAAGAAGGCUUUCGGGUUGUAAACUUCUUUUAAGGGGGAAAAGGAGAAGAUGGUACCCCUCGAAUAAGCCACGGCUAACUACGUGCCAGCAGCCGCGGUAAUACGUAGGUGGCAAGCGUUGUCCGGAUUUACUGGGUGUAAAGGGCGUGUAGCCGGGUCUGCAAGUCAGAUGUGAAAUCUAUGGGCUUAACCCAUAAACUGCAUUUGAAACUGCGGAUCUUGAGUACUGGAGGGGCAAUCGGAAUUCCUAGUGUAGCGGUGAAAUGCGUAGAUAUUAGGAGGAACACCAGUGGCGAAGGCGGAUUGCUGGACAGCAACUGACGGUGAGGCGCGAAAGUGUGGGGAGCAAACAGGAUUAGAUACCCUGGUA
rnacentral:rRNA from 2 species